rnacentral:tRNA from 1 species
UGGGAUUUGGCUUAGUGGUAAAGUGCUUGCCUGGCAUGCGUGAGGCCCUGGGUUUGAUUCCUCAGUACCAU